rnacentral:lncRNA from 10 species
CCGCUGUGUCUUAACAGGCCUGAAGAUUGUCUGAAGCCCCUGGCAAGGUGGUGCAGGCUGCAUUUGGAGUAGCUCAGCUUGGAAGCCAGUCAGAUUGUGGCAGCAACCGACUAAAGAAUGUUGUUCUGUAGAACCGAUGGGAACAGAAAGCGACUCUAAAUUCUGAUUCUCUGAGGAAAGAGAAAAAUUGAUCUGGAAGGAUGUGCACUUGUCAGAAACAGCACUUCAUUUUAUUCCCUUGUUUAUGACAGACAUAAACUAGCUCACUGUAUUCAGAAGAAAACUAAGAUGCCAGAGCAGCUUUCAGUCUCUCCAUGAAACUCUUCCUGGCCACCAGAUGCAUCUUCCUCUGACAGCUGGUGGCAUUAUCUGGGCACCAUAAACUGAGGUAUUUAUUUCAUUUUACAUUUUCUCUAACU